UGGGGAAUAUUGCACAAUGGGCGCAAGCCUGAUGCAGCCAUGCCGCGUGUGUGAAGAAGGCCUUCGGGUUGUAAAGCACUUUCAGCGAGGAGGAAGGUGGUGAACUUAAUACGUUCAUCAAUUGACGUUACUCGCAGAAGAAGCACCGGCUAACUCCGUGCCAGCAGCCGCGGUAAUACGGAGGGUGCAAGCGUUAAUCGGAAUUACUGGGCGUAAAGCGCACGCAGGCGGUUUGUUAAGUCAGAUGUGAAAUCCCCGGGCUCAACCUGGGAACUGCAUUUGAAACUGGCAAGCUAGAGUCUCGUGGAGGGGGGUAGAAUUCCAGGUGUAGCGGUGAAAUGCGUAGAGAUCUGGAGGAAUACCGGUGGCGAAGGCGGCCCCCUGGACGAAGACUGACGCUCAGGUGCGAAAAGCGUGGGGAGCAAAACAGGAUUAGAUACCCUGGUAGUCCACGCUGUAAAACGAUGUCGAUUUUGGAGGUUGUGCCCUUGAGGCGUGGCUUCCGGAGCUAACGCGUUAAAUCGACCGCCU
rnacentral:rRNA from 1 species